rnacentral:rRNA from 1 species
CCUACGGGAGGCAGCAGUGGGGAAUAUUGCACAAUGGGGGAAACCCUGAUGCAGCGACGCCGCGUGGGUGAGGAAGUACUUCGGUAUGUAAAGCUCUAUCUGCAGGGAAGAAAAUGACGGUACCUGAGUAAGAAGCCCCGGCUAACUACGUGACAGCAGCCGCGGUAAUACGUAGGGGGCAAGCGUUGUCCGGAUUUACUGGGCGUAAAGGGAGCGUAGUCGGUGUGUCAAGUCUGAUGUGAAAGGCCGGGGCUCCACCGCGGGACUGCAUUGGAAACUGGCAGUCUGGAGUGCCGGAGGGGAGAGCGGAAUUCCUAGUGUAGCGGUGAAAUGCGUAGAGAUUAGGAGGAACACCAGUGGCGAAGGCGGUUUGCUGGACUGUAACUGACGUUGAGGCUCGAAAGCGUGGGGAGCAAACAGGAUUAGAUACCCCUGUAGUC